rfam:Schistosoma curassoni strain Dakar, Senegal genome assembly, scaffold: SCTD_scaffold0007571
GCACUGAUUAAGAGUCCCAUAAUAGGACGAAACGGCUGUCCAGUGC